CUAGAGAUUCCUACGGGAGGCAGCAGUAGGGAAUCUUGCGCAAUGGGCGAAAGCCUGACGCAGCCAUGCCGCGUGAAUGAUGAAGGUCUUAGGAUUGUAAAAUUCUUUCACCGGGGACGAUAAUGACGGUACCCGGAGAAGAAGCCCCGGCUAACUUCGUGCCAGCAGCCGCGGUAAUA
rnacentral:rRNA from 1 species